CCCCUAGAUGUUCUGGGCCGCACGCGCACUACACUGAACAGUUCAACAAGUCUUAACCUUGGCCGAUAGGUCUGGGUAAUCUUUGAACGCUGUUCGUGAUUGGGAUAGACCUUUGCAAUUAUGGGUCUUCAACGAGGAAUUCCUAGUAAACGCAAGUCAUCAGCUUGCAUUGAUUACGUCCCUGCCCUUUGUACACACCGCCCGUCGCACCUACCGAUUGAAUGGUCCGGUGAAAUCUCGGGACGGCGGCUUGGUCGCUUGCGUCCGACUGCUGAAACUUGAUUAAACCAUAUCAUUUAGAGGAAGGUGAANUCGUANCA
rnacentral:rRNA from 1 species